CCGAGAGUGGAGCCUCCGCGCUCGAAC
rnacentral:sRNA from 1 species